GGGGGGGGGCUGCACUAGCACUGCAGCAAAUUCACAGGCACAGUCAGGUAGACAAGCAGCACAGUGACGCAGUAUCCCAGAUGAGCCACGCUGAGCCGACGCCGAGAUGAGGGGUCUUGUCUGGUCACGGCUGAAGGAAGGGCUUUAUAUGUCGAUUGGCAUAUUCCUUUUCCUCUUGGGCCUGUGUGCAGUCCCAGGCAUGACUAAUGUUUCACUCUCAAAUCGAUAAGGCAACUGCAGAACCAAGACUCCCUUCUUCUAGGUUGCCCCGUUCCUUCACUGAUUCCUUGUUCCAUUAAAUGGAGUUGAUGUCUCCAAGAGGACUCCAUAUUGGAUCUGUGUUCGGGGACGAAGAGUGACAUGGGGAGCAAUUACCUGGGGAGGGCUUUGAAGAACCUGCUCUGUCAGCUAAAAGCCCAAUAAAUCAGAGUCAGAGUCAGACGACAGGAACAACAGAACUGACAGAAGAGAGGGAGAUGAUGGUUUGAUAGGAGCACAUUUGUAGCAAUGUAGCACUCGUUUAUAAGGAAUGCAGUCUUGCAGAACCCUGCAUGGGUGCAGGUUUCAUACUUUUGCACCAAUUAAUUUUAAUCGGUCAAGGAUGAUUUGACACCCACUAACCCCACUGUUUAAGCUUGCCUUGGUGCCCACUAACCCAACUGUUAUAGGAUGCUUUGAUAGCCACUAACUCUACUGUUUAAGUUGACUUUGAUAACCACUAACCCUACUGUUAUAGGAUGCUUUGAUAGCCACUAACUCUACUGUUUAAGUUGACUUUGAUAACCACUAACCCUACUGUUAUAGGAUGCUUUGAUACCGACUAACUCCAAUGUUUUAGUUUGGUUUAACAGCCACUAACCUUACAUUUAUAUGCUCUGAUACCCAAUAACCUUGCUCUUUAAGGUUAUUGGCUACGCCCAGGGUAUUGCCAUACCUGGGUUAAGCUGUAACGCUGAAGUCCACAGAAAAACAGUGGCAGCACCAACACUGAAGGCUGAUUUUGAUAGCCUAAUACCUCAGACGGACGGACCCAGACCAGCCUUCUAGGAAGGCUGCAGGGAUCACUGGCUGGGACGUGGGCAUAGAUGCUAAGUGAAUGGAAAACUACUGGAGAACCAACCUCACCUCCCUAACACAUUCUCAUUCUUCCUACCUCGUGAUAUGUGCCGCUAUAACAUUCAACCAAAAUAAUUCUGAGGCCUAAUGCUUCUUAUGAUAUUGUUUGAAUCUUGCUGUGGGCCUCAUUUGUGCUGUGCCUUUUUCAUCUCAAUCACACAUUAAGAGAGCUGACAGAAUGACAAAUGGUUUCUAUGCACACUGUUGGUGGUCAUGGAUGCAAUACCAUAUUUACAACGCCAAUGGCAGGGAUCUCAUUGUUUGCUUUAGCCACACUUACAAAGAGAAGGCCGGAUGUUAAAUGCUGUAAUUUGCAGUGGUAUUGCUGGUAACUUCUCUUUUAUCUUUUGCCACAAUGCAAAUUAAAGGAUUGCAGCCUUU